GGGCGUGUAACUCAGUGGUAGAGUGCUCGCUUCGCAUCUUCUGGUGCUAAAUGCGAGAAGUCCAGGGUUCAACUCCCUGCUCGUCCA
rnacentral:tRNA from 1 species